ensembl:lncRNA
GCUCCUUUAUCCUUCACCAUCUCAGACACGCUCCUUUAUCCUUCACCAUCUCAGACACGCUCCUUUAUCCUUCACCAUCUCAGACACGCUCCUUUAUCCUUCACCAUCUCAGACAUGCUCCUUUCUCCUUCACCAUCUCAGACAUGCUCCUUUCUCCUUCACCAUCUCAGACAUGUUCCUUUCUCCUUCACCAUCUCAGACACGCUCCUUUCUCCUUCACCAUCUCAGACACGCUCCUUUCUCCUUCACCAUCUCAGACACGCUCCUUUCUCCUUCACCAUCUCAGACAUGCUCCUUUCUCCUUCACCAUCUCAGACACGCUCCUUUAUCCUUCACCGUCUCAGACAUGCUCCUUUCUCCUUCACCAUCUCCGACACGCUCCUUUCUGCUUCAUCAUCUCAGACACGCUCCUUUCUCCUUCACCAUCUCAGACACGCUCCUUUAUCCUUCACCAUCUCAGACAUGCUCCUUUCUCCUUCACCAUUCCAGACAUGCUGCUUUCUCCUUCACCAUCUCAGACAUGCUCCUUUCUCCUCCACCAUCUCAGACAUGCUCCUUUCUCCUUCACCAUGCCAGACAUGCUCCUUUCUCCUUCACCAUUCCAGACAUGCUCCUUUAUCCUUCACCAUCUCAGACAUGCUCCUUUCUCCUUCACCAUGCCAGACAUGCUCCUUUCUCCUUCACCAUUCCAGACAUGCUCCUUUCUCCUUCACCAUCUCAGACAUGCUCCUUUCUCCUUCACCAUUCCAGACAUGCUCCUUUCUCCUUCACCAUCUCAGACAUGCUCCUUUCUCCUUCACCAUGCCAGACAUGCUCCUUUCUCCUUCACCAUUCCAGACAUGCUCCUUUCUCCUUCACCAUCUCAGACAUGCUCCUUUCUCCUUCACCAUUCCAGACAUGCUGCUUUCUCCUUCACCAUCUCAGACAUGCUCCUUUCUCCUUCACCAUCUCAGAUAUGCUUCUUUCUCCUUCACCAUCUCAGACAUGCUCCUUUCUCCUUCACCAUCUCAGACAUGCUCCUUUCUCCUUCACCAUUCCAGACAUGUUCCUUUCUUCUUCACCAUCUCAGACAUGCUCCUUUCUCCUUCACCAUUCCAGACAUGUUCCUUUCUUCUUCACCAUCUCAGACAUGCUCCUUUCUCCUUCACCAUUCCAGACAUGUUCCUUUCUUCUUCACCAUCUCAGACAUGCUCCUUUCUCCUUCACCAUUCCAGACAUGUUCCUUUCUCUUUCACCAUCCUAUAAUUAUAGAUUUGUAAGGCCCAGUGUUGUUUAAAAACAGUUUUAAAAGUUUUUAAAUGUUUGCUUCAUAGCUUUUCCUUUUUAAAAACAUUGUGAACAUGUAAAAAUGUA